rnacentral:lncRNA from 1 species
CGCCCACCGGGUCCGCCCCCACGCGGCCGCCUGCACAGGGGGUUCCAGCCACCCGCGCUCUCCCAGGUUUGCCGACCUUACGGGCCCUUCUCCGCCAGCCCUGGCUGGGUCACCCCCACGACCCGGGACUCCCCCGCCGUUCCCUCCCGGGCUGCCUGCAGUGAGGUCCGCUCCUGAGGCCUCAGCCUCGCCGGGGGUAGGGCCCUCUCCCGCCGUCGCCGCAGCUCCUUUCCGUCCCGGGGCCUGGGGGGCACCGUCCCACGGGUGAGGGCCGCCUCCAGCGCCUGGCCCAGCCAUGCGAACGCCUGGAGCCCGCGAGCUGCAGCUGCGGCCCUGAAGGUGCCGCAUAUCCUGCCGAGUGGGUGAAGCGUGGCACUUUGGAAAACAAAUCGGGUGAUCCGCCCACCUCGGCCUCCCAAAGUGCUGGAAUUACAGGCAUGAACCACGGUGCCCGGCUGACACAAGGAACUUUCUAUGAGGUCCUAGGAAUGAAGGAAAACAGGCAAUAAGGCAAGAAUCGCUGUCGAAGGAGUCUGCGCCACCUGCUCGCACAGCUCACUUGUGCCUUCUGAGCCUGCUGGAGCCCAGUGUACAUAUGCCGUCUCCGCGUGAUUAGAGAUUGCUGCUGCACGUGCCCAAUCCCGUGGCGGGGCUGGAACACAAACGGGGUGGUGUUCCAGCUGCAACCAUGCAGAUGAAGACUAUACCCUAGGAGAUGGAGGAACAACAGACAAGAAAGAAACCUGGGUUCCUGAAUAACCACGUGGAGCCAAGCAGCUUACUUAUCUCAAGCCACUGUUGCCCACCUCCAGAUUGAACUGUCUGCAAACAAAUCUUUACUUGAUGAGAAGUUUAAAUAUAAUUAAAUCUAGAAUAUUACA